rnacentral:rRNA from 1 species
GACGAACGCUGGCGGCGUGCUCAACACAUGCAAGUCGAACGAGUGGCGAACGGGUGAGUACUACGUGGGUAACCUGCCCUCUCUUUGGGCUACACCUUGGAAACGGGGUCUAAUACCGAAUAACGGGGGACGGGCUCGCGGCCUAUCAGCUUGUUGGCGGGGUGAGGGCCCACCAUGGCAGUGACGGGUAGCCGGCCUGGGAGGGGGCACGGCCACUUAGGGACGGCGGUACGUCCCAGAGUGCUACGGGGGGCAGCAGUGGGGGAUAUUGCACAAUGGGUGAAGGCCUGAUGCAGCGAGGCCGCGUGGGGGAUGAGGGUUUUCGGGUUGUUAACCUCUUGCGCUAGCGAACGGGUAGGUGGAGAAGAAGCGCCGGCUAACUACGUGCCAGCAGCCGCGGUAAUUC